AUAUUUAGUAUAUUUUGCUUCAGU
rnacentral:siRNA from 1 species